GAAUUCGCCCUUAGAGUUUGAUCCUGGCUCAGGACGAACGCUGGCGGCGUGCCUAACACAUGCAAGUCGAACGGGGUAAAGAGCUUCGGUUUUUUACUUAGUGGCGAACGGGUGAGUAACGCGUGAGAAACCUGCCUUUCAGUGGGGGACAACAGUUGGAAACGACUGCUAAUACCGCAUAAUGUAUUUUUAGGGCAUCCUUUAAAUACCAAAGCUUUAUGUGCUGAAAGAUGGUCUCGCGUCUGAUUAGCUAGAUGGCGGGGUAACGGCCCACCAUGGCGACGAUCAGUAGCCGGUCUGAGAGGAUGAACGGCCACAUUGGGACUGAGAUACGGCCCAGACUCCUACGGGAGGCAGCAGUGGGGAAUAUUGGGCAAUGGGGGAAACCCUGACCCAGCAACGCCGCGUGAAGGAAGAAGGCCUUCGGGUUGUAAACUUCUUUUAGCAGGGACGAAGAACGUGACGGUACCUGCAGAAAAAGCAACGGCUAACUACGUGCCAGCAGCCGCGGUAAUACGUAGGUUGCAAGCGUUGUCCGGAUUUACUGGGUGUAAAGGGCGUGUAGGCGGAGAUGCAAGUCAGGAGUGAAAUCCCGGGGCUCAACCCCGGAACUGCUUUUGAAACUGCAUCCCUUGAGUAUCGGAGAGGCAAGCGGAAUUCCUAGUGUAGCGGUGAAAUGCGUAGAUAUCAAGAAGAAGACUCGUGGCGAAGGCGGGUUCCUGGACAUUUACUGACGCUGAGGUACGAAGGCUAGGGUAGCGAAAGGGAUUAGAUACCCCUGUAGUCCUAGCAGUAAACGGUGCACGUUUGGUGUGCGGGGGAAUCGACCCCCUGCGUGCCGGAGCAAACGCGUUAAACGUGCCGCCUGGGGAGUACGGUCGCAAGAUUAAAACUCAAAGAGAUUGACGGGGACCCGCACAAGCGGUGGAGUAUGUGGCUUAAUUCGAUGCAACGCGAAGAACCUUACCAAGGCUUGACAUCCCGAGACCGACUGUGAAAGCAGUUUUUCUAUUCGUAGACUCGGAGACAGGUGCUGCAUGGCCGUCGUCAGCUCGUGUCGUGAGAUGUUUGGUUAAGUCCAGCAACGAGCGCAACCCCUGCUGCCAGUUACCAUCAUUAAGUUGGGGACUCUGGCGGGACUGCCCAGAUCAACUGGGAGGAAGGUGGGGACGACGUCAGGUCAGUAUGGCCCUUAUGCCUUGGGCUGCACACGUACUACAAUGCCCAGUACAGAGGGAAGCGACACUGCGAGGUGAAGCAGAUCCCGAAAAGUGGGCCCAGUUCGGAUUGGAGGCUGCAACUCGCCUCCAUGAAGCCGGAAUCGCUAGUAAUGGCGCAUCAGCUACGGCGCCGUGAAUACGUUCCCGGGUCUUGCACAAACGGCCCGUCA
rnacentral:rRNA from 1 species